UACGUAGGGCGCAAGCGUUGUCCGGAAUUAUUGGGCGUAAGAGCGUGUAGGCGGCCAGGUAGGUCUGCUGUGAAAACUCGAGGCUCAACCUCGAGACGUCGGACGGAAACCAUCUGGCUAGAGUCCGGAAGAGGAGAGUGGAAUUCCCAGUGUAGUGGUGAAAUAACGUAGAGAUUGGGAAGAACACCAGUGGCGAAGGCGGCUAUCUGGACGGUUUCUGACGCUAAGACGCGAAAAAGCGUGGGGAGCAAACAGGGAGUU
rnacentral:rRNA from 1 species